UACGGGGGGGGCAAGCGUUGUUCGGAAUUACUGGGCGUAAAGGGCUCGUAGGUGGCCAACUAAGUCAUACGUGAAAUCCCUCAGCUUAACUGGGGAGCUGCGUCUGAUACUGGAUGGCUUGAGUUUGGGAGAGGGAUGCGGAAUUCCAGGUGUAGCGGUGAAAUGCGUAGAUAUCUGGAGGAACACCGGUGGCGAAGGCGGCAUCCUGGACCAACACUGACACUGAGGAGCGAAAGCCAGGGGAGCAAACGGG
rnacentral:rRNA from 1 species